UGGGGAAUAUUGGACAAUGGGCGCAAGCCUGAUCCAGCAAUGCCGCGUGUGUGAAGAAGGCCUGCGGGUUGUAAAGCACUUUUGUUCGGGAAGAAAUCAUGCUGGCUAAUACCUGGUAUGGAUGACGGUACCGAAAGAAUAAGCACCGGCUAACUUCGUGCCAGCAGCCGCGGUAAUACGAAGGGUGCAAGCGUUAAUCGGAAUUACUGGGCGUAAAGGGUGCGUAGGCGGCCUUUUAAGUCGGAUGUGAAAUCCCCGGGCUCAACCUGGGAAUGGCAUCCGAUACUGGGAGGCUAGAGUUUGGGAGAGGGUGGUGGAAUUCCCGGUGUAGCGGUGAAAUGCGUAGAGAUCGGGAGGAACAUCAGUGGCGAAGGCGGCCACCUGGCCUAAAACUGACGCUGAAGCACGAAAGCGUGGGGAGCAAACAGG
rnacentral:rRNA from 1 species